UACGUAGGGGGCUAGCGUUGUCCGGAAUCAUUGGGCGUAAAGAGCGUGUAGGCGGCUCGGUAAGUCUGCUGUGAAAGUCCAGGGCUCAACCCUGGAAUGGCGGGGGAAACUGUCGGGCUAGAGUCCGGAAGAGGCGAGUGGAAUUCCUGGUGUAGCGGUGAAAUGCGCAGAUAUCAGGAGGAACACCAAUGGCGAAGGCAGCUCGCUGGGACGGUACUGACGCUGAGACGCGAAAGCGUGGGGAGCAAACAGG
rnacentral:rRNA from 1 species